AGGUGUAUAACUCAGUGGGAGAGUGCACACUUAGCAUGCACGAGAUCCUGGGUUCAAUCCCCAGUACCUCCA
rfam:Camelus ferus unplaced genomic scaffold scaffold1178, whole genome shotgun sequence.